GAAAUUUAUUAGUUUUAUUUAAAUAAGGAAUAGAUUAGUUAAAUUAUAAAUAAAUAGUAAUAAUUGUUUUUCUUAUGUUAUAUUAGGUGAAGAGUAGAUUAUAUUUUUUUUUCAGAAUUAUUCUUCUCCCAAGCUUUCAAGGAUUUCUUUUGAGGUACUCUUAGUUCGGGUGAGGAGUGAUGGCUAGGCUGAGGAAUGGUCAUCAUUAGGAUUUGACUUAGGAUUUUAUGUUGGAUUUUGUUUAACUAUUAGUUAUGUUCAUUUGGAUCAUUUGAUAUUUGGAAGUUAUUUGGAAAUUGAAUUUUGAGGAUUUUAGAUUUUGUUCCGCUACUCUGAACAGGUAUUUGGUAAUUGGUAACAUCCAGUUACAAUAUGAUUGUUUGGGUCAGAUUAUACUUUAAGCCUUCGGGUUUGAGGUGUGAAAUGACCGUCACGCCCUUGGAGUGGGUCUUGGGGCGUGACAUUAGCACUCAUGUGAAGGCAGGAAAAUUGAUUAGUCGAUAUGUUCUAGUGUUAGAA